rnacentral:rRNA from 1 species
UGGACCUCAGAUCAGGCAAGAUCMCCCGCUGAGUUUAAGCAUAUCACUAAGCGGAGGAAAAGAAGCUAUCGCA